AACAGAAAAAGAAAAUAAAAAGAAGAAACCAAGGAAAGGGAAGAGACAGAAUGAGGGUUUAUUGGAAGAAAGAGGUGUCGUCGGUUGAGAGUGGAAAGCCAAAAUUAUCGCCGGCUGAAGGAGACGACGACUCUCAGGUUGAGGAAAAGAGAAAAAGGCACAUCUGAGAAAGGGAACAGUUGAUUUUUGCAGAUGGCUUACCAAAAAGACUUCCAACUGAUUUGAGCCAUCUUAAGAUUCUCGAGUUGCAUCUUGAGUACGUGAACGAUGUCUCAACUAUUCUUUGCUUUCUCAGAAGCUCCCCGAACUUGGAAAAAAUUGCAAUUGGGUUACCUAUUGAUUUAACUAAAGAUGACGAAACUGUUAUAAAACGUUUUGAAGUGGAAGGAUGGUCGGAUAUCUGCUUAAAUCAGCUACGGGAAGUGGAGUUGCGGGAUGCAUACUGCACAAGGUUCGAAUUGGAGUUCAUUAAGCUUAUAUUAGCCAAGUCACCUGUCUUGGAGAAAAUGGUCAUUGAGUCAACUGAUUUGAUGGAUACUGAUGAUUUGGGGUUCCUGAUGGAGGUAACACAAUUUAGGCGCUUAUCGCCACUGGCCCAGGUCUACUAUUAUUCCAGAUGAUGAUCUAGUUUAGCAUAUGGAAUAUGUCAGCUUUGAUGAUCUAAUGGAUGACGCUCACAGGAAUUUGACCAAGUUAUGAAAUUCUGUAGAUGUUCUUGGUAACAGAGUAUUUUGGCCAAAUACUUGAUGAUCUUGCAUGAUUGUUGUGACAAAAUUUGCAUUUUGAACUUGACUGUUUACAUUUUGGAAAUUCAGGCCUUGAAUAUCUUCUUUGAGCUGCUGGUUGAUAAAUUUUGGUCAGAAGAGUUUUCAGAGUCGUCAUAUGUUGGUUACGGAUCAUAAUAAUAUCAAAAUUUGCUUCUUCUUCUUCUUCUUCUUCU